AGUAGGUGUAAAUUUCCUAAUUGUGAAAGUUUUCAAAUUAAUCGUGAAUAAAAAUAUUCCUUAUAUUUUUUCUUGUAUUUUCUACACAAAAAACAUUUAUAUAUGUGAAUCUAUUAUUUAUAAAAUUUGCGAUUUGAUUUAGUGUGAUUUGAUUAUGAUUGAAAAUACAAUUUAUGUUUAAAUAUUCGCUAAAUGUUAGGUUAAGAUGGUCAAAGUAUAAGUAAGAUAUUUAUUGAAAAAUUAUAAGACAUUUAUAUUUAAUUAAACAAUCAAAAUAUAAAAGAAGUUAUUUUAUAAUGAAAAAGAUAUAUUAAAAAUAUAUAUUAAAAAAAAACAUUAAAUUAAAAUAUUCAAUUUUCAUCGAUUAAAUUUUAUUAUGAAUAGUUCUAUUUCAUAGAAGUAUAAAAUAAUAUGAUUUGCAUUUGAACAUUCGAGGAAGAAUUUUAAUGAAAUAUAUGUGAUAUAAAAGUAAAGUAAAAAAUAGAUAAGAAAUUUCAGGAUAGAAUUUCGAAUAAAUCUUAUAUUUUUCAUUCCUACAAUAUCUUGUUUGAACAAUCAGUAAGGAUAAGCAGUUUGCGCAACAAUGAAAGUACGUCGCAGAGAAGUAAAGAUUCAUUGUUGAAAACGACAUUCCGAUCAUUCCCGCAAUAGCUCUGAUCUUAAUGGAUCAAAUGAAAUAAUCGAUUAAUACAUAAUACGUGACAAAUUCAACAAAUGAUUUUCAUUGCAUCAUUGGAACGCUAAUGACAACAAUUGAAGAACAUCAAUAUGCUUUUUCUUUUUUGCUGAGAUCAGAUAAUUUCGUAAGAAUAAAAUUCGUGUCACAAUAAGGUGUAUAUUAACUAAGAAAUCAACUAAGAAAUCACACAAAUCAAUCAUAAAAACCAAGAUUGAAUAAUAAAGAAUAAAUGCAUUUAUGAUUUAACGAUUAAUAUUUAUAGAUAAACGGUUUAAAUAAUUUUUUGAAGAGAAAAAAAAAAGAAGAAAUAAGAACUAAGAAACAACUCUCAAUAAGCCGAUGUAGCGACUUACAAGCAUGAUGAUCGAUUAAGUUCGAGUUACACUAGCGGUCUAGUCACGCUACGAUCACGACUUUGGUCGCAGAAGCUUCAAACAUUAUUCAAUGCUCUGAAGUGUAACUGACACAUGAAUGUUGAUGAGUACUGGAACAUCGAAAAACAAGGUUUAUUCUCAUGACUCAAGGUUUUUAAACUUAGACGUGUGAAUUCUGUGCUAUUCCUUUGUUUUGUUUCAGAUGUUUAUAUUUCCUGGUAAUUUUGAUAUCUUAAUUUCUUGAAUAUUUUUUUUUAAUUUUAUUCACAAUUUCUACGUUUCCUCUAUUAUUCCUUCUCUCGCUUUGCGCGUUCUAUUAUAUAAUUCAAAUAACAAUUUUAAAAUAAGGGAUUCAACAUUAUCUUAACUUAAUUUUAACUUAAUCUUAACUUAAUUGAUUUCAGAAGAUAUAAUUAAAUUUAAUAUACGUAAUAUGUUAUAGAGAGUCACGUACUUAGUUGGCUUUGUUUCAGAAAUGAAAACAAGUAUGAUUUGCUUUCUAUGCAACACGUGCAAGUAUUAUAUACAAUGGUUUCCGGUUAAAACAAGUUGAUAACAGAAACCGAUAUAAAAAAAAACAAACACAUCUUCUGCAAAAUAUUACCAGAGAUUAAUCUUCAAACUCAAUCAUUUUCUGUUCACAAAAGAAAUAGCAUUAUUUUCUAAUUAUUUGUAUAAAAUAAAAAGUAAUUAAAUAUGAAGUACGUUUUAUUAUAAAUUUAUAAUGAAAUUUAUAAUAUAAUAAAUUUUUACCAAAAUAUA